GGGGAAUAUUGGACAAUGGGGGCAACCCUGAUCCAGCAAUGCCGCGUGUGUGAAGAAGGCCUUCGGGUUGUAAAGCACUUUUAUCGGGAACGAAACAUUGUCGGUGAAUAUCCGGCAAGACUGACGGUACCCGAGGAAUAAGCACCGGCUAACUUCGUGCCAGCAGCCGCGGUAAUACGAAGGGUGCAAGCGUUACUCGGAAUUACUGGGCGUAAAGGGUGCGUAGGUGGUUUUUUAAGUCUGCUGUGAAAUCCCCGGGCUCAACCUGGGAAUGGCAGUGGAUACUGGAAAGCUAGAGUGCGGUAGAGGGUAGUGGAAUUCCCGGUGUAGCAGUGAAAUGCGUAGAGAUCGGGAGGAACACCAGUGGCGAAGGCGGCUACCUGGACCAGCACUGACACUGAGGCACGAAAGCGUGGGGAGCAAACA
rnacentral:rRNA from 1 species